rnacentral:rRNA from 1 species
CGCGUAGGCGGCCUGAUAAGUCGGGGUGAAAUUCUGCGGCUUAACCGCAGGACGGCCUUCGAGACUGUCGGGCUUGAGCACGGUAGAGGCAGGUGGAAUUCCCGGUGUAGCGGUGGAAUGCGUAGAGAUCGGGAAGAACAUCGGUGGCGAAGGCGGCCUGCUGGGCCGUUGCUGACGCUGAGGCGCGACAGCGUGGGAGCAAACA